GGUUUUGUUGUGAUAAUUUCGAAAUGAUAGAAGGGAUAUGCAGGAAAUGUCGACUUGGAUACGUUUCCUUACACAAACAAUCUUGUCUGCCGUGUCUUAAUAAUACAUACGGGAAACGAUGUGCAGAAACAUGUGCGUGUACAGCGCAUGAGAGAUGCGACCAUGUGAAAGGAUGUACUAAUACUUCCGCUGCAUUAAAUAACACAACGGAUAUCUUUGUUGAAGGUA